rnacentral:RNase_P_RNA from 5 species
UCAGUCGGUCGGGCAGCCGCGCCUGUCAUGUGCCGAAAGGCGGCAGGUGAGGAAAGUCCGGGCUCCAAGGAAACACGAUGCCGGGUAACGCCCGGCGGGGGCGACCCCAGGGAAAGUGCCACAGAAAGCAAACCGCCCCGUCUUCCGUACCGUUUCGGGUAAACGGCAGGGAUGACGGGGUAAGGGUGAAAGGGUGGGGUAAGAGCCCACCGCGCCGGCAGCAAUGCAGGCGGCACGGUAAACCCCAUCGGGAGCAAAACCGAAUAGGGACGGCGCGUCGGCUCGAAAGGGCAGGCAAUCGGUUUCCGGAUCAGCCGUCCGGGUGGGUUGCACGAGGCGGGUGGCGACAUCCGUCCCAGAUGAAUGGCUGCCGCGCGGGCGCAAGCCCGGCCGUACAGAACCCGGCUUACAGACCGGCUGACAUU